UCCGGGGUAGCUCAAUUGGCAGAGUGGCCGGCUGUUAACCGGAGAGAUGCGGGUUCGAAUCCUGCCCCCGGAG
rnacentral:tRNA from 1 species